GGUGAGUUUUAGCGACGAAAUAUCGGUCUUUCAAUUACAUCCUCUUUUUGAGCCUCGGUUUUGCUUCUCUUUUUAAGCAGCUCAAGCCCGUCAAUGCCAUCAGAUCCCAGCCUAUCGUCCGCCUCAUUGUCCAUGUCGAACAAUAACCAAUAACCAAUAAAGAAGCCCAUAUGGGGUUUCUUGAUUGUAAUUGGUGAUAUGCACCAUGUGCUUACCACUUCCGUGAAUGAAAGUAUAGUGCUCUGUUCUCAGAGGGUUUUGGAAGAAGAUAAUGAUGACAACUAGCAGCAACCUGGUUGUGAAAGUUAAGUGGGAGAAGUUUUUUUUUUUUUCCUUUUCUUUUGUCGGAAUAACUUCAUUCAUGGAAAUCGAAGGAUACAAGAGAGAAGAACAGAAAUUAAGGCAUGCAUGACAGGCCGCAAAUGCAAUGAGCUAUUCAGAGAAGCCACAAGUCCCACGGCUAUUUCUGAAUGUCUUCAUACAUGUUAGUUUUCUCUCUUUUCAUCUCUGCUUUUGGGAUAUGAUUUUCAUGUGUUGUGCUCCAUUUUUGUGUCUCUGAUUUUCAUCGUCAGACACUUUUGUGAGGUUUAUUUUCAAUUUGUUCCAUGGAAAACGGCUGGAUGUUUGGUAUUCUUCAUUAGAGUGUAGGGUUUUGUUGGGUGUAUAAGUUUGCUGGAUUUAAUUAAAUAUAGGGGUAUUAUAGGAAAAUUGGCUGGGUGUGGUUAGAGAUUUUUUAAAUUAAUUGGGUGUAAACAUUUUGUUGGGUAUAUUUAGAAAGACUUUUUUUUUCCCCUCUCUCAUAUAAGGAUGUAAUGAUGUAUAUGACAAUAUUAUGGCCUUAAUAGAAGGGUCUACAUCGUGUUGCCCUUAAUUUCCAUAA